GCACUGGGAAGAAAAUAACAGCUUGUCCAGGCCAGAGGUCUCGCUGCUUCUCUCAGUCUUUUCUACCCAUAGCAGUGUGUUGGCUGAUACUGUUGGUCAUCAUGGGCCUCCGUAUCUACUUUACCAAUCGCAUCCUCAACGACAACUU